GACGAACGCUGGCGGCGUGCCUAAUACAUGCAAGUUGAGCGCUGAAGGUUGGUACUUGUACCGACUGGAUGAGCAGCGAACGGGUGAGUAACGCGUGGGGAAUCUGCCUUUGAGCGGGGGACAACAUUUGGAAACGAAUGCUAAUACCGCAUAAAAACUUUAAACACAAGUUUUAAGUUUGAAAGAUGCAAUUGCAUCACUCAAAGAUGAUCCCGCGUUGUAUUAGCUAGUUGGUGAGGUAAAGGCUCAACAAGGCGAAGAUACAUAGCCGAACUGAGAGGGUGCUCGGCCACAUUGGGACUGGGACACGGCCCAAACCCCUACGGGGGGCAACAGUAGGGAAUCUUCGGCCAUGGGCGGAAGUCUGACCGAGCAACGCCGCGUGGGUGAAGAAGGUUUUCGGGUCGUAAAACUCUGUUGGUAGGGAAGAACGUUGGUGAGAGUGGAAAGCUCAUCAAGUGACGGUAACUACCCAGAAAGGGACGGCUAACUACGUG
rnacentral:rRNA from 1 species